rnacentral:ncRNA from 1 species
AAAGCCUCUCUCAGUUCGGAUUGGAGUCUGCAACCCGACUCCAUGAAGCUGGAUUCGCUAGUAAUCGCGCAUCAGCCACGGCGCGGUGAAUACGUUCCCGGGCCUUGUACACACCGCCCGUCAAGCCAUGAAAGCCGGGGGUACCUGAAGUACGUAACCGCGAGGAGCGUCCUAGGGUAAAACUGGUGAUUGGGGCUAAGUCGUAACAAGGUAGCCGUACCGGAAGGUGCGGCUGGAACACCUCCUUU